GUCCUCCAGUCUCUCUCUCUCUCUCUCUCUCUCUCUCUCUCUCUCUCUCUCUCACACACACACACACACACACACACACACAGAGAGAGAGAGAGAGAGAGAGAGAGAGAGAGAGAGUUAUCAGGUGAG